AUGUAUCUGUGGAAGGUUAAAGUCCCAGCAAAGGUGCGAGUGUUUACAUGGAGAUUGGCACAUACAUCGUUACCUACUGGAACGACGAGGCAUGAGCGCAAGAUGGCGGAUACGGACGUGUGCUCAAUUUGUAACUCAGCUGAGGAUACAUGGAGGCAUUCACUCUUUGAGUGUUGUACGGCGAGGUGUGUCUGGGCCUUGGUAGAUGAGGAUACACUGGAGCAUGUGAUAUCAACUCGGAUAGAAGGCGCGCGACUUUGGCUUUUUUGGUUGUUUGAGGCUUUGAAUCAGCAGGAUCUAGCACGGGUGUUGGUAACCAUGUGGGCCAUAUGGUGGGCGCGAAGACGAGCGAUUCACGAUGGGGAGUUUCAGAGCCCAUUGAGCACCAUGAGCUUCAUAAACCGCUAUCUUGAGGAUCUGAAUAUAGCUUCCGCUCGUGGAAAUCGCACCAGGAGGACCAACAGUUGGCAAAAACCGGCUACUGGUAACGUGAAGAUAAAUGUAGAUGGAGGGGACUCGAGGAAUGGAGCACAAGGAGCAGCGGCUGUCAUAUGCAGAGAUGAAGCGGGAGCCUUUUUGGGAGCUUCUGCAAUUGUUUUCGAUGGCCUAGUGGAUCCACCUAGUCUGGAAGCACAAGCAUGCAAUGAAGCUCUAGCACUAGCCAAAGACCUGAAUUUGCAGAGAGUUUAGGUGGCCUCGGACUGCCUUGAGGUGGUGAACAAUAUCAACAAGGGAGAAGCGCCGGUUUAUGGUCUGGUCCUGCAUGAGAUAAAGGAUCGCAUGGAGGAUCUAGAGUUUGUUAAUUUUUCUUUCGAGGUUCAUGAGUCGAACUAUGAAGCUCAUGCUUUGGUUAAGGCUGCUACUUCUUUGCAGUCGGGCGCCACUUGUGGCUAG
rnacentral:rRNA from 1 species